GUGGGGAAUCUUGCGCAAUGGGCGAAAGCCUGACGCAGCCAUGUCGCGUGAAUGAUGAAGGUCUUAGGAUUGUAAAAUUCUUUCACCGGGGACGAUAAUGACGGUACCCGGAGAAGAAGCCCCGGCUAACUUCGUGCCAGCAGCCGCGGUAAUACGAAGGGGGCUAGCGUUGCUCGGAAUUACUGGGCGUAAAGGGCGCGUAGGCGGAUCGUUAAGUCAGGGGUGAAAUCCCAGAGCUCAACUCUGGAACUGCCCUUGAUACUGGCGAUCUUGAGUGUGAGAGAGGUAUGUGGAACUCCGAGUGUAGAGGUGAAAUUCGUAGAUAUUCGGAAGAACACCAGUGGCGAAGGCGACAUACUGGCUCAUUACUGACGCUGAGGCGCGAAAGCGUGGGGAGCAAACAGGAUUAGAUACCCUAGUAGUCC
rnacentral:rRNA from 1 species